CUGGCCUCCCGUAGUGCCUUGAAGAGAGCUAGAUUUAGAAGAAAUAUUACUUCAGCUCUCAGGAUGGAAAAAGAUCUAGCCAGGAGGCAGAGACUCUGGAAAAGUGCUAAUAAAUUGUUACUGCCUGCUAUUAAAAGGAUCGAUAAGAUGGUGAAACUGAGAAGUUAAAGGACUUGUCCAAAGUCACAUAGUUGGCAAAGCCCGCAAACAUUUCUGGCUGAAUCUCUGCACUUCCCGGGUUCUGCAGCUAUGUCCUACGAAAAGGAAACGGUUUCUCCG